rnacentral:tRNA from 1 species
GGAGGGAUUCCCGAGUGGUCAAAGGGAGCAGACUGUAAAUCUGCCGGCUAAAGCCUUCGGAGGUUCGACUCCUCCUCCCUCCACCA